AUGUGUCUAGUUUGAGCAUAAAAAAAUUUGAGAGCCAUUGGAUACAUUCUCAUCAUUUCACAAUUGAUUUGGCAAAGUGUACAAAAUUUGGUCACAUGUCACAAACCCUAAGGCCAUUAAAAAAACCAUCCAUCCAAAAAUUCUGGAAAAAUAAUGAUAAAAAAGUAGAGAUCAUGAUGAACACAACACAAAAAAUCCCAUUGAAUUUGGACCAAAAAUGAGCAAGUUAUGAAUUUUGGAAGAUUGGUAAUUAAAAUGUGAAAUAAAUGAAGCAAGAAUGGCAAUUUUGUAAUAUUUGGAUCCACUUAUCAAAACACAGUCGUUUUGGGCAGCAAAUGGAAUGUUUUGAUUGGCUGGAGGGGGGCACACGAAAAUGGGGGCAAUUCUGGGCAGAUUGGGAUUAGGGUUCUUAUCAAAAAAAACGUGAUUUCUCAAUUCUUCCCAAAAGUGUCAAUUAAGCAUACCAUUGUAAACAUCAAACACCAUACAACAACAAUCCAAACCCUAAUUUCAUCAAUUUGAACUAUACAACAAGAAAUCACAAGAAACAUUUUCAAACAUCAAACUUUAUAAAGUGUCAAUUAAGCAUACCAUUGUAAACAUCAAACACCAUACAACAACAAUCCAAACCCUAAUUUCAUCAAUUUGAACUAUACAACAAGAAAUCACAAGAAACAUUUUCAAACAUCAAACUUUAUCCCAUCAUAACUUCAUGAACAAGCAACUAUUCCAAAAAAUGAAAGCAUCAUGGUACUCAGCAAUAAAGGAUCUUUCCAAAGUGUAUGUCAAUUUUAAGAAUGGGGGAAGUUGAAAACUUACUAAUUUUGAGAAGCAGUUGUAUUGCUGGUGCCUUUUGAUGGAUUUGGGGUGAAGUGAUCGUCCUAGAGCCUUGCCUUGAUGUAUGCUGAAGAUUGCUCUUUGUCAAAUGCUUGUGUAGUGUCCACUCAAAGGGGGUGCAAAUGUUGUCAAGCCAGGCCAGGUUUAUGACUGUUGCUGCAGUGUUGGAUUUUUCUGUGGUGUUUGACAGGACCUUUCUUGGCAAGAUGCAAGUGAGGUGGUUGGAAUAAGGCAGGAUGAAUGCUGGUUCUGUUGUUUUGAUGGCAGGAAAAUGAAGUCCUCUGCCUGCUGCUAAGUUGUUGUGACAGGUUUUUGGUAAGAAUCAAAUGAAGUGAGUUUGAGUUUUGCUAAGUUGGUUUUUAGGAUUUGAAGAAAGCAAAACAAAGUUGGACUGGCCUGCUGCUAUUUCUUGGAUUCUUGUUAUGACAACCCAUGGUCUAUGCCAAGCAAGCAAGCAUGAAGUUGAAAAAAAAGAGGAGGGGAGAGAAGAGACAGAGAAUGGCAAUUUUGUAAUAUGGAUCCACUACAAAACACAGCGUUUGGGCACAAUGGAAUGUUUGAAUUGGCUGGAGGGGGGCACACGAAAAUGGGGCAAUCUGGGCAGAUUGGGAUUAGGGUUCUUAUCAAAAAAAACGUGAUUCUCAAUUCUUUCCCAAAAGUGCAAUUAAGCAUACCAUUGUAAACAUACAAACACCAUACAACAACAAUCAACCUAAUUCAUCAAAUUUGAACUAUACAACAAGAAAUCACAAAAACUUUCAAACAUCAAACUUAUCCCAUCAUAACUUAUGAACAAGCAACUAUCCAAAAAAUGAAAGCAUCAUGGUACUUCAGCAAAAAGGAUCUUCCAAAGUGUAUGUCAAUUUUAAGAAUGGGGAAGUUGAAAACUUACUAAUUUUGAGAACAUUGUAUUGCUUGGUGCCUUUUGAUGGAUUGGGUGAAGGGAUCGUCCUAGAGCCUUGCCUUGAUGGUAUCUGAAGAUUGCUCUUUGUCAAAUGCUGUGUAGGUCCACUCAAAGCGGAAAAAUGUUGUCAAGCCAGGCCAGGUUUAUGACUGUUGCUGCAGUGUUGGAUUUU
rnacentral:lncRNA from 1 species